rnacentral:rRNA from 1 species
GACGGAAGGUGCAAGCGUUGCUCGGAAUCACUGGGCGUAAAGGGUGCGUAGGCGGCUUGGUGGGUCUGGUGUGAAAGCCCCGGGCUCAGCCCGGGAAGGGCACUAGAAACUGCCGAGCUGGAGUGCCGGAGGGGAGAGUGGAAUUCCUGGUGUAGCGGUGAAAUGCGUAGAUAUCAAGCGGAACACCGGUGGCGAAGGCAGCCCCCUGGGCUAACACUGACGCUCAUGCACGAAAGCGUGGGGAGCAAACAGG